GGGAGACUGGUGUAAGAGGCCUGUCUGGUCUUACUGGGAAGCCUGGACCUCCAGGUGUAUCAGGACCUCAUGGGGAUAGAGGCCCUCCAGGACCUCAGGGUCGGCUAGGGGAUCUGGGACGCACAGGGCUAGAGGGCCCACAGG